rnacentral:rRNA from 1 species
UACGGAGGAUGCGAGCGUUAUCCGGAUUUAUUGGGUUUAAAGGGUGCGUAGGCGGACGCUUAAGUCAGCGGUAAAAUUGCGGGGCUCAACCUCGUCGAGCCGUUGAAACUGGGUGCCUUGAGUGGGCGAGAAGUACGCGGAAUGCGUGGUGGAGCGGUGAAAUGCAUAGAUAUCACGCAGAACUCCGAUUGCGAAGGCAGCGUACCGGCGCCCAACUGACGCUGAAGCACGAAGGCGUGGGUAUCGAACAGG